ensembl:miRNA MIR431 microRNA 431
UCAUGAUCGUCCUGCGGGGUGUCUUGCAGGCCGUCAUGCAGGCCACCCUGACGGUAACGUUGCAGGUCGCCCUGCUGGGCUUCUCGCAAGACGACAUUCUCAUC